rnacentral:siRNA from 1 species
AGCCGCCGACUAACACUUCCAUAG